UCUCUUGUAGCUCAGUGGUAGAGCAUCCGACUGGUGUGCAGCAGUUCAUAGGUUUCAACUCCUGUUCAGUUGGGAGAA